CCGGUCAGCAGCAUAUGGUGAGGCCGGAGCACCACAUGCAGGUUCCACAGGGAAAUAGUCAAGCUGCCCAUUUCAGCAGCAUGAAUCAAUCAUUCUCCAAGGCUGCAGCUUCUUCACCUCUUCAGCAAACCCAAAGGCCACAUCAGAUGUCGCAACCACUGAACAUGUUGGGUAACCCGCAUCUUUCUCAGACCCAAGGAACCAGCCAUCCAAGCCCACAGCAGCAGCCAUAUUCUACUAUGCCUAUGCAGCUGGCUAAAGAAAGACAAUAUCAACACCGUUUGGUGUCUCAACAGCACAACAGUCUUCCUGUAGCAGGUGUCGUACCUAGUGUGCAGAACGGACCGCAGAUUCAGCAGCAGAACCAUGCGUCUCCGGCCACUUCAACCCCUUCGUCGCAACCACUGCAUCAGAAGCAGCAGUCUGCGCAAAGCCCACCAGAUAGCUCUGCACUUGCCAAUCGACCUGCCAAUGCUACAGAACCUAAGCAGAAGAAACAGCAGGGUCAACAGCAGCCUAGGCAGAAUCAACAGCAGAGGAACCAAGCUAGUCAACAAGCUAAGCUUAUGAAGAGUCUAGGACGAGGAAACAGCAUGGUGUCACCCCAGACUCCUGCAGCCGAUGCCACUCCAGCCAGUUCUGUUCCUACAACUUCCAAGAAACAAGUUCCUGACAGAAAUCUGAUGCAACAUGGGCAAGGAUCCUCCGGUGGUAAUAAAGCGUCAAAUUCAGUUACACCUCAGCCUGGGAAUCAACAUAAGCUGUAUGCCCCGGUGCAGCAGCCUCCAAAUAUCGGUAACCAAGGCUUGAUGCAGGGCCCUCCUAGUCACACCGUCUUCGCUGCACAACCGCCCCCACUCCAUUCCAAGUACCCGGUGACCACGCAGCAGCGGCCGAUCAAUCCAGCACAGAACAAGAUGCAGAGAAUGAUGAUGCAACAAAGCCUCCAAAUGAAGCCCGACUCUAGGAUGGACGCACAGAUGGAACAAGUCCAGCACAGUCAGGCGAAUCCAGCUACACCUGCAUCUCACAGUCCAGAGGCAGGCAGUCCUGGGCUUUCAGCGCAUGACCCAGCUGCAGUCACAUCGACAUCAAAGCCGCUCAGCUCCCCCAAGGACAAUUUUGCCGGGAAGGAGACUUCAGCGGCAUCGUCGUCUAACCAAGGCAUGCUGCAGAGGCAGAUUUCAGGUGGAUCAUCGUCCAGCCAAGGCAUGCUGCAGAGGCAGAUUUCGGGCGGACGUCUGCCUCUGCCUGCGCAUGGACAAGAGGUGGGUGGCUCGUGGCACCACCAGCAGCUGUCUAGGCCGCACCUGCCUCCUGCGCAUCAUCAGCAGCAGCCUCAGCUCCAGCAGAGACCAGUUGCUCCAGGCAGCAGCAUGUAUGCUCCCCCAAAUCCAGGGCCAGGUGGUCCGGGCAGCAUGUAUGCUCCCCCAAAUCCAGGGUCGGGCUGAUGGAAUCUCGACACCGGCUGGUCGCAUUCAUGGAGCAUACCCUUCUCUCCGAAAUCCAAAGUUACUGUACAGGUACGUCCCUACCAACCUGUGUUUGCAUUCCCUGCUGAUUCGCCGGCACAGGUUCUGCCUGCCUAGAAACUGCACGCAAUUUGAGCAAUCAGACCGAGAGAUAGUGAAGUAGAAUCCAUGAUGCAUCAUUAACUCGCAAGCAAACUGAUGUUUUUUUUUUGGACGUUUGCUGUGUUGUCAGGUAUCGGACCAAUGUAUGGAAAGGAAGGCGCCGUUGACAGUGGGGUCCUGAACAAACCGAGUUUUGGUGUUUUGUUGUUAGGUGGUAGAUAAUUGGCCAUUGCCACCCCUCCCUCUUGAGGUUGGUCGGCUGCAGUCUUCUUGUUCUAGAUAAAUUUUUUCUGAUAGGUUGAUGAUGGUAUGGUAGAUGGUCGAGGAGGAGGAGGUGCUUGUUGGGUGCGUCAGCUAACAUUUUGUUGUCUUUGUUUUCUGUCUCUGUCUCUGUCGGAUGGAUUGAAGAUAACCCGACGGCUGUAGAUGAUGCUGUUUCUUGCUAGUACUAGUGUGUCUCUGUGAGUGUAUAAAUUUGUUGUGGUGUCGGUGGUUGUUGUUUGAACUAACUUAUGAUGACAGUCAGUCGUACAAGAGAGAAGUUGAUUAAAUGUGACAGUGAAUAGUUGAAAGAGUGCACCCUUUCUUUGCAUUGGAUCUAUCCAUCUACUCCGUAUCUGUCACUGUCAGCAGCAGUGUAAUCCAGUUGACCUGUCCCAACCCAGCAAACGGCUGGGCUGGCUGUUCCAUUUUCCAGUACAGAUAAGGCCAUAAUCCAGAUGCUCAGCGGUGAAAAUGAAAUGAAGGAAAGCGAUAUCUGUCUGUAGAGUAGAGAUAGAGAUGGGGAAGCUGGAUAAGAGUCUUGGCUUGGCAGAUGCGCAGCGCAGCGCAGCGGUCAGGAAAGCGAUAUCUCUCUCCACCAAAUCCCACAUCCACCAUUCUUCUGUUGCCCUGAUUGUUUUUCGUCGCCAUGGCCGCCCACGGCAAGCCCAAGCCCAAGCCCAAGCCGCCCGGUGCCCCCGCGCCGCCGCCGCCACCGCCACCAACGGCGGCAGAGGCGAAGAAGGGCUUCAUGCGCCGGAUGUUCCCCUUCCUCCUCGCCGUCAACGCCUUCGUCGGCGGUCAGCACCCCCCAUCUCCAUCUCACUUCCUUGCUGCUAUACUCCCAGCGGAUCCCAUCUUCUUCUCUCCUCCCGGACUCGGAGAGAUCCAAGAUGCCGCCGGCCUCUCCCACUGUUGCAAUCCGUUUCCCCCCAUGGGAAUAGUUUUUUUUUUUUUUGCUUGUUUCUUCUUUGGUUUAAUUAAUUUAGUCCUCUUAUUAUAAAAUCAUCACUCUUCAUCAUCUCACAUCUCAAUCCUUGGUAACGUGCGUGCAGCCUACGUGCUCGUCAGGACCUACUACAAGGACGAGGACUCCCCACCCAAAACCGCCCACUCUGCUUCUGCUUCUGCUUCUGCAACUGCAACCGAGUCGACCCCGUCUCCCGCCGGCGACUCCCCGGACCCUGUCUCCGUCGCCGUCGCCGCCGUGCCCACCAAGCCGGUGCCGCUGCCGCCGAUCCCCGAGGACGACCAGCGCAGGGUCUACAAGUGGAUGCUGGAGGAGAAGCGCAAGGUGAAGCCGCGCGACGCCGCCGAGAAGAAGAGGCUCGACGACGAGAAGGCCCUGCUCAAGCACAUCAUCCGCGCCGACACCCUCCCGGUCUUCUGACUGCUCUACGAUAUAACUUUGUCUCUCUGCUAAGACAAUGGCUUUGAUUGGAUUUAGUUAGUUAGUUAGUCGAUUGUGUCGUGUGGUACCAUGUUAUCUUCCAAGUUAAAUCCUCCGAUGAUGCCGAGGGGGCCGUCCAUCUCGCGCCGUUUCAUUUACAUUGAUGUGGAUGCACACAUACUUGCUCUUGUUGCUUUUGUUGCUCUAUGCUUCUUCAACAUAAGGAUUUGGUUUGUCGCAAGCUAGCUACUCAACUGAUUGAUUGAUUCAUGUGGAUGCAAACUGGCUUCUCUCAAGCUUUGACUUGUUUCAUGCGGGGUUUAUCUGAUCCAACACCACACGUUUUUUUUUUCUUCUUCCCUUUAGUUUUCUCUCUUCUGUCUUCUUACAGCCUGUCUAUUUCCAUGUCACCAAAGUUUAAACCCAAUGCACCAUUGCUCAAACUUUCAGUACAAAAAGGAGAGAGAGAGAGUUACUGGAACAAUUUCAUUUGUUCAGUUAAAACCCCGCAGCCCGGUGUAAGUGUCAUUGUGAGGGUGAAUGUAGGCCUGUGAUGGCAACAGCAGGAGCCAAAAAAAAAAGGGAGCCAAAAUUGAGCUCCUUGCUCGUAAAAAAAAAGAGAGCCAAAAUUGAGCUCCUUGCUUGCUGGUGCUUACAGACGGACAGCCACUUAUCAAGCUGCUUGAAUAGCACCUGUUCCUCCUUCUCCAUGCUCCAAGGUCAGAACUGGAGGGCUUCAGUGCACCGCCGAGGAGGGACUCAAAGGAUGAUGCCAGGCAGCAUCCGAAUCGCAGGCAAGCCAUCCCUCUCUUAUGGUUGAUUUGUACUACUACUUUCUUGCGAAAAAGUUUGAACAAAAUAUCGUACUAUUGUUGUACUGGAAGCAACGACUGACAGUGCUUGUUUCUGUUUUCACUCUUCAGACAUUCAACCGCCGGUCAGCGCUCUUGCAUUUUCUGAUUCUACCGCAUUUUGCUUUUUCUUCAUGCACUCUUCAGUUGCUCAUGUCAUCAUUCGCUUGUACACAAACAUCAUUUUGAAUGCAGUUACCAACGGAAAACAUCUUUUUUGUUGUUGUUGUUGUUUCAUGCAAUUUCUUCUACAGGAAUUCUCAGAAAUACGGUGUUCCAAGACCGACCCGUACAGGGUGAUGAGCAACACAAGAUUCAGCAUAAUCAAAUGCAACAUGUGUCCCAGGGUUGCUGAGUAUGGCAUCGACAGGAAACAUGCCACUCAAAAGUGUGCAAAGAGUGCCAAAUCGCUGUAAAUGUCUAUUCUGGAGCCAUGCUUGCCUCUGGUGAGGCCACGCGAUCCUACGCAGAUGUUUCGCGUGAGUUUUCUGUUCUCCUUCAUAUUAUUGAAACAUCUAAAUUCUUUUACUUUUCAUGCAUAAACAUUUUCCUAAAACAAGGAGAAGAAAUUGGUAUACCUGAAAAUUGGCAGUAAUUCCUACUUUUCGAGUUAGUAGUUGCCUGCUUAGGAAUAAUACCUUGGUUUUCUUUUUAUGAAAAAUCUGCUCAUAUAUCAUUUCCGUACACCUUUUUGAAAGACUUGUAUGUCUUAGUGACAUAAGUUUUUUUGGACUGCACGACUGUCUGUCGACUUCUUAAACAGGUCUAUUUAGUAGUCAUGCAACUUUGACAUUUAGAUGGUUAAAGUGGCUCUGUUGUCCAAUCUUCACUAAAGCUUAAACUAUUGAACUUGACAGUUGUGGGAAAUUAACUUAAUUUUCUCAACCUCAAUCUGGAUUAAUGUGAUCCAUAGAGUGCUGAUGGGAUACUUUCUUUCUUUUUGCCUGGUCAGCAGCAUAUGGUGAAGCCGGAGCAGGACUUGCAGGUUUCACAGGGAAACAGCCAAGCUGCCCAUUUCAACCAUGCAUCUCCAGCCACUUCAACCCCUUUCUUUGCCACCAUUGCAUCAGAAUCAGCAGGAUGCACAUAGUCCACCAGAUAUGCUCUGCACUUCCGAGUCGACCUGCCAAUUCUACCGAACCAAAGCAGAAGUAUCAACAGGGUCAACAGCAGCCUAGACAAAACCAACAACCGAGGAAUCAAGCUAGUCAACAGAGCUAGGCUUAUGAAGACUUUAGGACGAGGAAACAUGGUGAUACCUCAGUCUCUUGCCGACGGCGCCUCUCCAACCAGUGCUGUUCCUACGCUUCCAAGAAACAAUUUCCGGACAAAAAUUCGACGCAACAUGGCCAUCGUAAUAAAGCAUCAAUUUCAGUAACACCUCAGCCUGGGAAUCAACAUAAGCUAUAUACCUUGGUACCUUGUCAGGUUGAGGUUUAUGCAAAGGAUCGAACAACUAACACUGAAUUCAGAGAUGAAAAGUAUCGUUCAAAGACGGCAAAUUGCCGGGGUUUUAGCGACUCG
rnacentral:lncRNA from 1 species